GCCGGGAUAGCUCAGCUGGUUAGAGCGUCGGAAUCAUAAUCCGUAGGUCGGGGGUUCAAGUCCCUCUCCCGGUACCA
rnacentral:tRNA from 1 species